CCCUCACUCCGGCCGGCCGAGGGGCUCUGCCCCGCUCCGCCCUGGCGGCUGCUCGGCCCCGCACGGAGCCGUGAGGGGCCGCUCAGGGCGGCGGGUCUGGGCCGGCCGUCAUCGCCCUCCCGGCGCCCUGGGGACACCGGGGCACACCGAGCCGGGAUCGAGCCUCCCUCCCUGCCGUCCGCCGGGUCCCGGGCGCCCUUUUACAUAACGGGCGGCAGCGCCGCGGUUACACAACGAACGGCGGGGCUGCCCCGGCCCGGCCGCGGUACCGGCGGGAGGGAGGGGAGGGGGCUCCGCCUGAGCCCCUCAGCCGGGUUUGCGCCGCCGCCAUGGCGGCCCCUUCCCCGGGGUCACCUCCGCUACCUGCGCCGGGUCCGGCACCCGGGGCUGCAGGAGAACAGCUCCCUGCCUCCCUUCCCUUCCUGCCUCCCUCCCUCUUUCCCCUGUCCCUACCCGCCACCGCCACCCCCUCACCAUCGCGGCGCUGGGUGCCGCCGGCGAGCGCCCAGCCAGCCGGUCCCGUCGCUGGGCUCCUUCUCUUUUCGCUUUUUUUCUUUCCCUCCCUCCCUUCCCCCGUGUUUACCCCCCCGACCUGGAAGUGAAUGUUGCCUCAGCCGGCCGGGAUCCCGCCUCCCUUAAAGGGGCUGCGCCAGCACAGGUUCGUGCCGCGCACGGGGAGCGGAGCCUCAACACUCGCAUUUUAGGCUCGAAGUGUGGGGAGAAGGGGCCAUUGCCCAGCAAAGCGCAUCGGCCUCUCUUGCUACGAGUGUGCGGGACCUUUUCGGCAUGGUUGCUCCGGUAGCGGAGCCGGGACCCGAGAGCUCUGAGGCGAGCGCCCGGCUGGAGCAGGUGAGCAGCAGCUCCGGGGACCUCCCACAGCCAUGAACUGGCGUCAGCUUCACGCUUCGUGCUCUCAAGCCUCUGCAGUUCAAGUGUUUCCUGCACAAACUGGUUUAUUCUGAUGGCAAAAGAUUCUAUACAUACUAUAAAACACAGUUUUACCAGUUUAAGGACUGCAUAACAAAGGAAUCCACUUCUGGUAUGGAGCAGCCAUAUGGUUGAGUUGGCACAAGCUCAAGGAGCUGCAAAGACAAAAUCCCAGCAAGAGCAGACUCUUCAAGGACUUAAGCUAAUAAACUCAAGGAAUUUCUACUGAGCCUGUGCAAACUGAAAUGUUUUCAAAGCUGGAUUUCCAGAGAAACAGUAUUGCUGGUACAAAAGCAGUUCACCUUCUAAUGGCCCCAUCCAGAAUGGAGGUUCACACAAACAUUCUCAGAUUGCAGCCAGCACUGGCCAAGCAAUGUGUGUCUUCUUCCUGCAGUCUCACACACAUAGCAGGGUUUUGGUCAGUACGUAUUGAAAACAAGACUUUAGCUGCAUAUGGAAAAUGUGUUUUAACGUCAAACCAAAUUUUUAACAGUCUAAAAAGUUUUAAGGAAAUACUUUAGAAGGUGUAACUGGUGUUUCAGCUAUGUACCUGGCAGGGUUUGCUGCCAGUCCAGCUGGUGAUGAUGGUUGGUCAAAAUUAGCUCUAGCCUUUAGUAAAGGACAAGGCUUCUUCCUAUGGGAGACUGUGCAGGAUUUAACUGAGCUUUAUUUAUCCCAAAAACUCGACAAGCUGGCAUUAUUCUACUUGAAUAAUUUGGGACAAAGCAUUUGCAAAUAUUGCAAAUAUUCUUUGAAAUUUAUUUUAACUCAAGCUCGGAUUGAUUUUAAGCAAUUCA